GACGAACGCUGGCGGCGUGCUUAACACAUGCAAGUCGAGCGGUAAGGCCUCUUCGGGGGUACACGAGCGGCGAACGGGUGAGUAACACGUGGGUGACCUGCCCUCAGCUCUGGGAUAAGCCUGGGAAACUGGGUCUAAUACCGGAUAUGACCUUUCCUCGCAUGGGGUUUGGUGGAAAGUUUUUUCGGCUGGGGAUGGGCCCGCGGCCUAUCAGCUUGUUGGUGGGGUGAUGGCCUACCAAGGCGACGACGGGUAGCCGGCCUGAGAGGGCGACCGGCCACACUGGGACUGAGACACGGCCCAGACUCCUACGGGAGGCAGCAGGGGGGAAUAUUGCGCAAUGGGCGGAAGCCUGACGAAGCGACGCCGCGUGGGGGAUGACGGCCUUCGGGUUGUAAACCUCUUUCGACCCCGACGAAUUUGGACGGUAGGGGUAGAAGAAGCACCGGCCAACUACGUG
rnacentral:rRNA from 1 species